rnacentral:rRNA from 1 species
CCUACGGGUGGCAGCAGUGGGGAAUAUUGCACAAUGGGGGGAACCCUGAUGCAGCAACGCCGCGUGGGUGAAGAAGUACUCCGGUAUGUAAAGCCCUGUCAGCAGGGAAGAAAAUGACGGUACCUGACCAAGAAGCCCCGGCUAACUACGUGCCAGCAGCCGCGGUAAUACGUAGGGGGCAAGCGUUAUCCGGAUUUACUGGGGGUAAAGGGAGCGUAGACGGCAAGGCAAGUCUGGAGUGAAAGCCCGGGGCCCAACCACGGGACUGCUUUGGAGACUGUGUUGCUGGAGUGCAGGAGGGGUAAGCGGAAUUCCUGGUGUAGCGGUGAAAUGCGUAGAUAUUAGGAGGAACACCGGUGGCGAAGGCGGCUUACUGGACUGUAACUGACGUUGAGGCUCGAAGGCGUGGGGAGCAAACAGGAUUAGAUACCCUAGUAGUC